UCCCCGGAAGUGCUUUUCCAAGGUUCGGGCCGGAGAGAGGCCUUGUAGGCACAGCUGCUGAGCCUCGAUCGGCUCCGAGUAGGGGCUACUGCCCGGGUUGGAGCCCGGGGGUCCGCGGCGGCCGACCCGCGCCUGCCUCCUCCCAGCGCCCAGGCCGACGAAAUGACCAUUAAGAAGUAGAUGCCCAGAUGCAAAAGUGAUGAAACAGUCAAUUUGUCAUAAAGUAAGAUGCAGCUGUGGCUUUUCAACCAGAUUAGAACAGAAUUGUAUCUGUUUUUCUCAGAAGAGAAUUCCGCAAGAGGGUAAAGGGAGGAGUCGUGGAACCUGUGUGUAGCACUGUCUGAUCCUCCAGGGCACUACUCAAAGGCAGUACUUCAGGAGAAAUCCAGAUCGUUCUUUUCCUGGACCAUUGUGCUUAAAGUGAAAACAGAAAUUUCAGAAGAUUUAAUCUUAGUGAACUUGAUCUGUUACAUUUUGUCCCUGUUCUUUGGGCAAAUGAAGUUUGAAUUCUUAAACAUUAAUACAAUCUGUGAUACAAUGAUGAUGGAUCAUACUACUGUCUGGUACCCUUAGGGCUCUCCUGUAAGUGUUGGGUAAAUAUUUAUUUUUAUAAAAGCCGAU